rnacentral:rRNA from 1 species
ACGAACGCUGGCGGCGUGCUUAACCCAUGCAAGUCGAACGGAAAGGCCCUGCUUUUGUGGGGUGCUCGAGUGGCGAACGGGUGAGUAACACGUGAGUAACCUGCCCUUGACUUUGGGAUAACUUCAGGAAACUGGGGCUAAUACCGGAUAGGAGCUCCUGCUGCAUGGUGGGGGUUGGAAAGUUUCGGCGGUUGGGGAUGGACUCGCGGCUUAUCAGCUUGUUGGUGGGGUAGUGGCUUACCAAGGCUUUGACGGGUAGCCGGCCUGAGAGGGUGACCGGCCACAUUGGGACUGAGAUACGGCCCAGACUCCUACGGGAGGCAGCAGUGGGGAAUAUUGCACAAUGGGCGGAAGCCUGAUGCAGCAACGCCGCGUGCGGGAUGACGGCCUUCGGGCUGUAAACCGCUUUCGCCUGUGACGAAGCGUGAGUGACGGUAAUGGGUAAAGAAGCACCGGCUAACUACGUG